AAUGAACGUUGGCGGCAUGGAUUAGGCAUGCAAGUCGAGCGAGAAGAGUUUUGAAGCUUGCUUUAGAACUCGGACAGCGGCGAAAGGGAGAGUAACGCGUAGUUAUGUGCCCUAGGGUCCGGAAUAGCCACGGGAAACUGUGGGUAAUGCCGGAUAAUAUCCCCGGAUCAAAGGUGUGAUUCCGCCCUAGUAGCAGACUGCGUCCUACUAGCUAGUUGGUGGGGUAAUGGCCUACCAAGGCAAUGAUGGGUAGCGGGUGUGAGAGCAUGACCCGUCUCACUGGGACUGAGACACUGCCCAGACACCUACGGGUGGCUGCAGUCGAGAAUCUUCGGCAAUGGGCGAAAGCCUGACCGAGCGAUGCCGCGUGCGGGAUGAAGGCCCUCGGGUUGUGAACCGCUGUCGUAGGGGAGGAAGGUUCCGUGAAGAGCGGAAUUUGACCUAUCCUAGGAGGAAGUACGGGCUAAGUUCGUGCCAGCCGCCGCCGUAAAAC
rnacentral:rRNA from 1 species